rnacentral:rRNA from 1 species
AGCGAACGCUGGCGGCAGGCCUAACACAUGCAAGUCGAGCGGCCGUAGCAAUACGGCAGCGGCAGACGGGAUAGUAACACGUGGGAACGCGCCCUUCGGUUCGGAAUAACUCAGGGAAACUUGAGCUAAUACCGGAUACGCCUUACGGGAAAGAUUAUUGCCGAAGGAACGGCCCGCGUCCGAUUAGCUAGUUGGUGAGGUAAUGGCUCACCAAGGCGACGAUCGGUAGCUGGUCUGAGAGGAUGACCAGCAUCACUGGGACUGAGACACGGCCCACGACUCCUACGGGAGGGCAGCAGUGGGGAAGUAUUGGACAAUGGGCGCAAGCCUGAUCCAGCCAUGCCGCGUGGAUGAUGAAGGCCCUAGGGUUGUAAAGUCCUUUUAACGGGGAAGAUAAUGACGGUACCCGUA